ACAUAGGGUGCAAGCGUUGUCCGGAAUUAUUGGGCGUAAAGAGCUCGUAGGUCGUUUGUUACGUCGGAUGUGAAAACCUGAGGCUCAACCUCAGGCCUGCAUUCGAUACGGUCAAGCUAGAGUUUGGUAGGGGAGACUGGAAUUCCUGGUGUAGCGGUGGAAUGCGCAGAUAUCAGGAGGAACACCGAUGGCGAAGGCAGGUCUCUGGGCCAAUACUGACACUGAGGAGCGAAAGCGUGGGGAGCGAACAGGAUUAGAUACCCUGGUAGUCCACGCCGUAAACGGUGGGCGCUAGUUGUGCGAACCUUCCACGGUUUGUGCGACGCAGCUAACGCAUUAAGCGCCCCGCCUGGGGAGUACGAUCGCAAGAUUA
rnacentral:rRNA from 1 species